UACGUAGGGUGCAAGCGUUGUCCGGAAUUAUUGGGCGUAAAGAGCUCGUAGGCGGUCUGUCGCGUCUGCUGUGAAAACUCAGGGCUUAACCCUGAGCUUGCAGUGGGUACGGGCAGACUAGAGUGCGGUAGGGGAGACUGGAAUUCCUGGUGUAGCGGUGAAAUGCGCAGAUAUCAGGAGGAACACCGGUGGCGAAGGCGGGGUCUCUGGGCCGGUAACUGA
rnacentral:rRNA from 1 species